CUCCCUUGAGGCCUAUAUAAAAUAUUUUUGUUGUCUCUGCCCCGAAGUUCUUCGGGAAGUGGAUGGAGAGGUGGCUCACGCUGGAGAACCGGGCAACUCUGCGAGGAAAAGCGGCCUGAAAAGCUCUGCCUGCAGCACUACCCGGACUCUUCUCAGCAGUAACCCGCCGGACUUGCUCUGCCUACUACAGGAGAAAUUACCAACGCCACCACAAUGCAUCAUCAUGUUCCAGAACACUCACUGCCCUGCAGAGAUACCCAGCUAGAGAGCGAGGAGCACAGCUGAGGAGACGCAGAUGUCAGCACACGCGGGACCCUGAAGGAGCCCAGGCUCUGGUACGGGGCAGCGGCCGCCCCAGUACGGGGCUGGGCACCAGUUCCUGCUCCUCAGCUGGUAGCGAGUUACAGCCGAGCGCAGUGGGGGCAUUUUUGGUUGUUACAAAGGAGUAAAAGAGACCCAGAGCAGGACCAGGAGCCUCUUGCUCCGUUCCCAUGUGCAAAACAAGCCCUGACGGCGCUUCACAUCCAUGUUCAUGGCACAGUGAGGGCAACAACUUGACAGUGGUGGCUCCCCCCCCACCCAAGCAAGAACUGCAUGCUCAGUGCUCGUUCAUAGGGAAAAAAACCAAGCAGCAGUGAGGAGCCCCCCCCUGCAGGAACUGAGGCAGGGCUGCAGGGCUGGGCAGAGCCCCGCAGGCCUCACCUGGGGCAGGACACUGCCACGGCCCUCCCUCCUGCAGCACGACCCUUCCC